rnacentral:misc_RNA from 1 species
GGAAGUAAAAGUCGUAACAAGAUUUCCGUAGGUGAACCUGCGGAAGGAUCAUUAUUGUAUAACCGAGGUGCGAGGGCUGUCGCUGACCCGAAAGGUCGUGCACGCCGGAGUGCCCUCACACACAUCCAUCUCACCCCUAUGUGCACCACCGCGUGGGUCCCCCUUUGGCUUGUUCGGAGGGGGGCUUACGUUUUCACACAAACUUUGUAUGCAGUGUAGAAUGUAUUUUUUGUUUUUGCGAUCACGCAAUCAAUACAACUUUCAACAACGGAUCUCUUGGCUCUC